GCUCCAGACUCCUACGGGAGGCAGCAGUGAGGAAUAUUGGUCAAUGGGCUUACGCCUGAACCAGCCAAGUCGCGUGAGGGAAGACUGCCCUAUGGGUUGUAAACCUCUUUUGUCAGGGAGCAACGCCGGCUACGUGUAGCCGGACUGAGAGUACCUGAAGAAAAAGCAUCGGCUAACUCCGUGCCAGCAGCCGCGGUAAUACGGAGGAUGCGAGCGUUAUCCGGAUUUAUUGGGUUUAAAGGGUGCGUAGGCGGGCUUUUAAGUCAGCGGUAAAAAUUCGGGGCUCAACCCCGUCCGGCCGUUGAAACUGGGGGCCUUGAGUGGGCGAGAAGAAGGCGGAAUGCGUGGUGUAGCGGUGAAAUGCAUAGAUAUCACGCAGAACUCCGAUUGCGAAGGCAGCGUACCGGCGCCCAACUGACGCUCAUGCACGAAAGCGUGGGUAUCGAACAGGAUUAGAUACCCGGGUAU
rnacentral:rRNA from 1 species